rnacentral:rRNA from 1 species
AUACGGAGGGUGCGAGCGUUAAUCGGAAUUACUGGGCGUAAAGGGCGCGUAGGUGGUUAGGUCAGUCGGAUGUGAAAGCCCCGGGCUCAACCUGGGAAUGCCAUUCGAUACUGCCUAGCUAGAGUGUGGUAGAGGGAAGCGGAAUUCCGGGUGUAGCGGUGAAAUGCGUAGAUAUCCGGAGGAACACCAGUGGCGAAGGCGGCUUCCUGGAUCAACACUGACACUGAGGCGCGAAAGCGUGGGGAGCAAACAGGAUUAGAAACCCCAGUAGUCC